AAGCUCGCGGCAGUACGGGGAGCGCCCGCCCGCCCCGCCCUGGACCCAACCAAGAGUCCCGCGGAGGGGUGCGGCCACUUGGGGGCAGGAGAAAGCGGAGUACGCCACCCCUCUAGGGACCCAGGAAGCGAGGCGAGCCUCAGGUGGACGCGGUGGUGUGGACCACGGCGAUCAGGGCCUUUCCCCCUGCUGUGGAGACGGAGGUGCCAGGGGACGCCGGCGGCUCCCCACCUUCUGGCCGAGUGGCCUUCUCCGCCUCCGGCUGGACUCCCUCGGGGCGCUCCCUCCAGAGCCUAGUCGGGCUGGCCGGGGGCGGCUGUUUGGCCUGAGUGUCGUCUUACUAAAGCGGAACGCCGGAGGGGAGGCCACUCCGAGAGGAGGCGGUCCCCGGCGGAGGAGGCUUCGUGAAUCCUGCAGCCCCCUGCCCGCCCGCCACUCGAGACGCCGCGCCUCGUGGGUUUCACGCUGGAUGGAGGGGGCGCCGCCGAGGAUGCCCAGCCUCCCCCGCUAACUCUACCUCUCCAGUUCGUCAGGUAGACACAGCCUCUGUCUGCUGUGGUUUUAGUGCCCGUGGCCCCUCAGAAAUUAUUUUUGUCCCCUCCCGAUAGUGGCUUUGGGGGAUGGAGGGCGAGAGAUGCAAAGGGCCAGUGGAAGAUUUUUUAUAGCACAAGGAAUCAAGCCAGGAGAUGGAGGUUUCAUUGCCACCUCGGGGUCUGGGGAGGGGGCGAGCCACACCUCUCCGGUCAGUCUGCGCCCACCAGGACCUGCUGCUGGGAACCGCACACGAAAGGAGAGACACCCAGCACCUGGCCCCUGGACCCGCAGGGCGUCAACCUCCUGGGCUUCUGCCUUUCUAGGUUUCCUCUGACUUUGCUGACCCAAUGACCCCUGGCCACGGGUGGCAAAAACGCCCUCACUGAGCCCUUCGCUAAAGGAGUGCCGGGGUUUAUGUGUCUGGCUUUUAAAAUGGGAUGAGGAGACAAGGAAACAGGACCUGAGAAAGGACACUAUCCAAAAUCUGAUGCUCUCAGAAGUCAACUUUUAAAACUGCCCUGCUCUUUUCAUCCAAAGAUGAAUAUAUGAAGCCAGCUGUUACUGGUUGAAAGUGUGCCUCUUGUUUGCAUGGCAAAGGAAUUCAGUUUUGUGUUUAUUUACAGCUGAAGCUCUCUUGAAAUAAUUGUCUCAGUCACAGCUUUUACAUUUUGGGGAACCAUGCCAUUAGAACUGAAUAUUAGGAACUGUGAUCUUUUGUCUUUUCACAAUUGACAAUACAUUCAGAACUUAUUUCUGAUAAAGCUGGGCAGUUUCUAAGGAUACUGUACUUAUGAUUUAAAGUCAUAACUCCAUGAUGCAAAAGAGAACAAGAAAUAUGUUUCAAUGACUGCCUUUUAAAUUAGCGGUACUCCAGCACUUUGGGAGGCCGAGGUGACAGGAUCGUUUGAGGCCGGGAGUUCAAGACAGCCUGGGCAUCAUAGCCAGACCUUGUUUCUACUAAAAAUAAAAAAUAAAUAAAUUUUCCGGGCAUGGUGGCCCAUGCCUGUAGCCCCAGCUACUCAGGAGGCUGAGGUGGGAGGAUGGCUUGGGCCUAGGAGGUUGAGGCCACAGUGAAUUAUGAUUACACCACGGGACUCCAGCCUGGGUGACAGAGUGAGACCCUGUCUGAAAAAGAAAAAAAAAAUGUAGCUGUACUUAAUGUACUAAAAUUAAAAAUUGGACAACAAUAGUUGAGGACAGUGUAGGCAUUUAAAGGUAGAGGAUUGCACUUUUUUUCUCAUUUUUGUCUUUUAUAUGCAUCAGAAUGAGUGCAUAUUGAAUACUACUUGGUAAGGUCUUAAAUUAAUUUGGUACCUACUGAGAUAAUCCGGCAUUUCAUGUGUAAAGAUAAAUUAGAUAAAUGAAUAAUAUAUCACUAUCUUGGAAAA
rnacentral:antisense_RNA from 1 species